ACGCACGCUGGCGGCAUGCCUCACCCAUGCAAGUCGAACGCGACCUUCGGGUCUAGUGGCGCACGGGUGCGUAACGCGUGGGAACCUGCCCUUAGGUUCGGAAUAACUCCCCGAAAGGGGUGCUAAUACCGGAUAAUGUCUUCGGACCAAAGAUUUAUCGCCUUUGGAUGGGCCCGCGUUGGAUUAGCUAGUUGGUAGGGUAAAAGCCUACCAAGGCGACGAUCCAUAGCUGGUCUGAGAGGAUGAUCAGCCACACUGGGACUGAGACACGGCCCAGACUCCUACGGGAGGCAGCAGUGGGGAAUAUUGGACAAUGGGCGAAAGCCUGAUCCAGCAAUGCCGCGUGAGUGAUGAAGGCCUUAGGGUUGUAAAGCUCUUUUACCCGGGAUGAUAAUGACAGUACCGGGAGAAUAAGCUCCGGCUAACUCCGUG
rnacentral:rRNA from 1 species